GCGAGGGUGGCGGAAUUGGUAGACGCGCUAGACUUAGGAUCUAGUGAGGCAACUCGUGCGGGUUCAAAUCCCGCCUCUCGCACCA
rnacentral:tRNA from 1 species